rnacentral:piRNA from 1 species
UGCCUCCUGAAUGUGAGCCACUAAGCUC